rnacentral:rRNA from 1 species
ACCUGCCCUAUGAUUAAAAAUUAAAUGGCUGCGGUAUUUUGACCGUGCAAAGGUAGCAUAAUAAUUAGUUUUUUAAUUGGGAACUGGUAUGAAAGGUCGAACGAGAAAGAGACUGUCUCAAUUUAAUUUAAAUUAGAAUUUUAUUUUUAAGUAAAAAAGCUUAAAUAUAUUUAAAAGACGAGAAGACCCUAUAGAGUUUUAUAUUAAGAUAGUUAUAUAGGAAAUUAAAGAAUUAUUUUUUUUUAUAAUUAUUAAAAUAUUUGGUUGGGGCGAUUGAAAAAUUUAAUAAACUUUUUUUAAAUUAUAACAUUGAUUUAUGAAUAAGUGAUCCAUAUUUAAUGAUUAUAAGAUUA